CGGCAACACCGUUUCCACUUUGACGCUUUGCCUUGUUAUUAUUCGUUGAAAAUCUUUUAUCUGUUUGUAAACAUUCAAGUCGAUGUGGUAGUUGAUUAUUUGGAGUUGGCUUUCUGCUGCGGAAAACCACCGGUUUGUGAAUUUCCAUACACGUUUUUAGAACAGCGUUUUUGCAAAUAUAAUAGUGACCACCUUUCAUACAAUACAUAAACUACAGUUAGGAAGUUCUGUUAGAAUAUUUGCUAAUAAAUUGUUUUUAAAAGUUUUUAUUUGUAGGACUUCACAACCGAGCAACUGCUGCGGAAGGUGCGUGUUGAAGAGCUAGGUGGCACAACUAUUGCGGUUUUUAGAAACGAAAGCACGUAUGUGCGUAUUUCUACCAUUGUCUCAUGUGGUGCUACGGGCAAUUUCAUAGGUGACUUUGAGCGUUCUGUGUACGAUGGUGCAAAUACCUAGUUAAGUGUUUAACAUGUGACGGUCAUCAUGUGCCUAGUAAUGCUACCUCUGAAAUCAAUUUGACUUCCGAACUGGCUGUCCACGUCGAUACCAAUAUGCUGUACGUAGAUGCAUGCGCAACACCCACACGAGCAAGUCCUCGCGCUUUACGUCGACAAUUACACGUUUUUGAUUUCUGCCUGAAUAAGUGCAGCGUUCCAACACCUAUACGAGCAAGUGCACCCACAUUCCUCAUAUUUCCACUCCGAUUCAUUACUGCGACGCCAUAGAUAACUAGAUGUGAAACUUAUUCAUUUUGAGAGAGAGCGCGCCCAUUAGGACGUUUCAAAACUUGGCAGCACUCACACACUAUGGGAUUUUGAACAGCUGAUAGGUGAAAUGGCAGACUGCCAGAAGAAACGCGCCAAAAAUAACAGACGAAAACAGUUCGUUUUUACUUAAUGGAGAAAGGACGUGUUAAAAUGUUUAUAAUUAUUUGUCUUAAAAUUAAUUCAAUUGAAAUGUAAUAAUUUGAAUUUAAAUGAGUUUGUAGAAUCCAAAGCUCGUUAUAUCCUUUUCGACUUCUACUUUUAGUCUUAUGUACAUAAUGUAAUUUUAUUGAAAACUGUAUGUUGGUUUAUGUAAAUUUUUAUAUGCGUAAAUAUUCUAUGGUUGAAAAGCGUAGGUAAGGGAACUGAAUUUGUGUUUGAGAUAUUUUACAAAAAUUAAAGGUAAUCUGCUUUAACUUA